AAUCUAUCGUUUGAUCCCAUUCCCUCUGGUAUGUGUGUGCGUUGGAAGGACUGCUGCGACUAGUCUGUUAUACGAUCUUGUUAAAAAGUAUCGUUCUAUUUCGUUUCCUCUGGUAUGCCUGUGUCCUAAAGGUCGCUGUGGAUAUUCUGCCUCUUCAAUUUGGUGGAGUUAGCGACUUUAGUGAUUGCUGGGCAUUCUUAAGGGGUGUCCUGUAUCAGUUCCUAAAAGUAGACGCACUGCUUUCCAGAACAGGAUGUGUAGCAAAUAACCAAUUGCUCGAUAACACCUGAGAUCACUAGCCAGCUUCGUUCAUAUUGGACAAAGGGGAAAAGCUUCUCUUCAAUUGAGGUAGCCAGGUUAAUCUGGCUGUUUAAAAAGGAGGAGUACUUUUGGCUGUUGAUUGGGCAACCACUGUUUCUUUCCUUUUUGUAUUUUUCUAUUUAUUUUCUUUUAAGUUUGAUCUCCCUCUACUUGGGUUUGCGCUGUGGGUUUGUGUAGGAAUUGAGUUCUUGUGUAUUGGGUGUUUGCUUAUUUGUUUAUUCUUUGGAUUUGAGGUGCGAUCGAAAUAUUUUUCAUACAGGUUUAUUUUUGAUGUGAUUUUUGUGUUUAAUUUUUUUUAUUAAAUGCCAGAACCCAUUCCUUUAUGCCCAGUGAGUGUUUAAAUCUGAACCAGUAGGGGGGGAAUCUGUUGAGUCUUUUUAUAUGUGAAGCUCGUAUUUUAUCAUUGCUGUUAAAUAAAUUGUAAACUCCUUUGUACUCUGGCUUCUAAUUCAUUCACUUGAAUUGCUUGAGCGGGUUGUCUUAUUUCUCCCACUAAGUUGCUAAAGUGGGGGUGGCGUAGUCACUCUUAGUUGAAUUAUCCCAAAUUAGGAAUUUAUAUCCUAUGGU